CCUACGGGGGGCAGCAGUAGGGAAUAUUGCUCAAUGGGGGAAACCCUGAAGCAGCAACGCCGCGUGGAGGAUGAAGGUUUUCGGAUUGUAAACCCCUUUUGUUAGAGAAGAUAAUGACGGUAUCUAACGAAUAAGCACCGGCUAACUCCGUGCCAGCAGCCGCGGUAAUACGGAGGGUGCAAGCGUUACUCGGAAUCACUGGGGGUAAAGAGCGCGUAGGCGGGAUAGCAAGUCAGAUGUGAAAUCCUAUGGCUUAACCAUAGAACUGCAUUUGAAACUGUUAUUCUAGAGUAUGGGAGAGGUAGGUGGAAUGCUUGGUGUAGCGGUAAAAUGCGUAGAGAUCAAGAGGAAUACUCAUUGCGAAGGCGACCUGCUAGAACAUAACUGACGCUGAUGCGCGAAAGCGUGGGGAGCAAACAGGAUUAGAUACCCGUGUAGUC
rnacentral:rRNA from 1 species